AUCUAUGGCCAUGCCACCCUGAACAAGCCCAAUCACUUCUGAUCUCGGAAACUAAGCAGGAUCGGGCCUGGUUAGUACUUGGAUGGGAGACCACCUAGGAAGCCCAGGUGCUGUAGGCG
rnacentral:rRNA from 1 species